rnacentral:rRNA from 1 species
GAGUUUGAUCCUGGCUCAGGAUGAACGCUAGCGACAGGCUUAACACAUGCAAGUCGAGGGGCAGCGGGGGCGAAGCUUGCUUCGCCUGUCGGCGACCGGCGCACGGGUGAGUAACACGUAUGAAACCUGCCCGUAGCAGGGGGAUAAGCGGAAGAAAUUCCGUCUAAUACCGCGUAACAACCCAUGGAGGCAUCUCCGUGGGUUUAAAGGAAGCGAUUCCGGCUACGGAUGGUCAUGCGUCGCAUUAGCUUGUUGGCGGGGUAACGGCCCACCAAGGCGACGAUGCGUAGGGGUUCUGAGAGGAAGGUCCCCCACACUGGUACUGAGACACGGACCAGACUCCUACGGGAGGCAGCAGUGAGGAAUAUUGGUCAAUGGCCGCAGGGCUGAACCAGCCAAGUCGCGUGAGGGAUGACGGUCCUAUGGAUUGUAAACCUCUUUUGUCAGGGGGCAAAGGGCGCCACGUGUGGCGUUUUGCGAGUACCUGAAGAAAAAGCAUCGGCUAACUCCGUGCCAGCAGCCGCGGUAAUACGGAGGAUGCGAGCGUUAUCCGGAUUUAUUGGGUUUAAAGGGUGCGCAGGCGGAAUGUCAAGUCAGCGGUAAAAUUUCGGGGCUCAACCCCGUCGUGCCGUUGAAACUGGCGUUCUUGAGUGAGCGAGAAGUAUGCGGAAUGCGUGGUGUAGCGGUGAAAUGCAUAGAUAUCACGCAGAACUCCGAUUGCGAAGGCAGCAUACCGGCGCUCAACUGACGCUCAUGCACGAAAGCGUGGGUAUCGAACAGGAUUAGAUACCCUGGUAGUCCACGCAGUAAACGAUGAAUACUAACUGUCCGGGCCGAUUGAGGUCUGGGUGGUACAGCGAAAGCGUUAAGUAUUCCACCUGGGGAGUACGCCGGCAACGGUGAAACUCAAAGGAAUUGACGG